UACGAAGGGGGCUAGCGUUGCUCGGAAUCACUGGGCGUAAAGGGUGCGUAGGCGGGUUUUUAAGUCAGAGGUGAAAUCCUGGAGCUCAACUCCAGAACUGCCUUUGAUACUGAGGAUCUUGAGUUCGGGAGAGGUGAGUGGAACUGCGAGUGUAGAGGUGAAAUUCGUAGAUAUUCGCAAGAACACCAGUGGCGAAGGCGGUCUCCUGGAGCAUACUUGACGCUGAGGCGCGAAAGCGUGGGGAGCAAACAGG
rnacentral:rRNA from 1 species